CGGGUCUGUUAGACAAAGAAAUAUGCUGAUGGGAUAAAAGAUGAACAGUAUGUGUACUGCAGACAGACCAAUCUGAAAGUGAAGUGUUAAAGGAUUGAAGCUGAAGGGAGGGGCAAGAAAGUUUGUCAUCAUCGUUAUAAAUCCAGCCUUCAAACACCUGUCUGGACUGUCCCAGCCUACAAUGUACCCUUUGCUGCCAGGAACUAAGUGGCUGUCUUUUCUGUUGAGCAAAGUAACAUCUGAGAUUGGCUCCUGGGCUUUGCCAAAAUCUUUUAAAAAUACAAGAAGAAUGGAAAUGUGCCAGCAUUAUGUCAUAAAACACAAAUAUUUUUCUGAAAAUACCAUAUGAUCAGCAUUCUGACUCCUUAGAUCCACUUCCCAGCCUACAAAGAUGAGUAACUUCCAUUCCAAAGUAAACUUCAGGGUCUCCAAUAAAGAUUCUCAAUUUGAAAACAUUCAAAUAAAGACAAAAAAA